AGAGUUUGAUUCUGGCUCAGGAUGAACGCUAGCGGCAGGCCUAAUACAUGCAAGGCGAGGGGUUAGCAAUAACACCGUCGUACGGGUGCGUAACGCGUAUGCAACCUACCUAUCACAGGGGGAUAGCCUUUGGAAACAGGGAUUAAUACCGCAUAAAGCAGGGGCUUGGCAUCAAGAUACUGCUAAAGAUUUAUCGGUGAUAGAUGGGCAUGCGUCUGAUUAGUUAGAUGGUGAGGUAACGGCUCACCAUGACGAUGAUCAGUAGGGGGCGUCAGAGCGUGGUCCCCCACACUGGCACUGAGAUACGGGCCAGACUCCUACGGGAGGCAGCAGUAGGGAAUAUUGGGCAAUGGAUGCAAGUCUGACCCAGCCAUGCCGCGUGCAGGAAGAAGGUCCUCUGGAUUGUAAACUGCUUUUGUCGGGGAAGAAUAGGCAUCUUGCGAGGUGUUGUGACGGUACCCGAUGAAUAAGCCACGGCUAACUACGUGCCAGCAGCCGCGGUAAUACGUAGGUGGCAAGCGUUGUCCGGAUUUAUUGGGUUUAAAGGGUGCGUAGGUGGUUUGCUAAGUCAGUGGUGAAAGCUGGUUGCUCAACAAUCAAGUUGCCAUUGAUACUGUCAGACUUGAGAGAAGUGGAGGCUCAUGGAAUGGAUGGUGUAGCGGUGAAAUGCAUAGAUAUCAUCCAGAACGUCGAUUGCGAAGGCAGUGGGCUGUACUUUUUCUGACACUGAGGCACGAAAGCGUGGGGAUCAAACAGGAUUAGAUACCCUGGUAGUCCACGCCCUAAACGAUGCGAACUGGACGUUGGGCUCAAUUGAGAGCUCAGUGUCGAAGCUAACGCGUUAAGUUCGCCGCCUGGGGAGUACGGUCGCAAGGUUGAAACUCAAAGGAAUUGACGGGGACCCGCACAAGCGGUGGAUGAUGUGGUUUAAUUCGAUGCAACGCGAAAAACCUUACCCACCUUUGACAUGUACGGAAUUUUCCAGAGAUGGAUUAGUGCUCGAAAGAGAGCCGUAACACAGGUGCUGCAUGGCUGUCGUCAGCUCGUGUCGUGAGAUGUUGGGUUAAGUCCCGCAACGAGCGCAACCCUUGUCAUUAGUUGCUACAUUUAGUUGGGCACUCUAAUGAGACUGCCGGUGACAAACCGGAGGAAGGUGGGGAUGACGUCAAGUCCUCAUGGCCCUUAUAGGUGGGGCUACACACGUCAUACAAUGGCUGGUACAAAGGGUUGCCAACCCGCGAGGGGGAGCUAAUCCCAUAAAGCCAGUCGUAGUCCGGAUCGCAGUCUGCAACUCGACUCUAUGAAGCUGGAAUCGCUAGUAAUCGUGGAUCAGCAUGCCACGGUGAAUACGUUCCCGGGCCUUGUACACACCGCCCGUCACGCCAUGGGAGUUGGUGUCGCCUGAAAAGGUCCAGCUAACCGCAAGGAAGCAGAUCUUAAUGGUGAUACCGAUGACUGGGGUGAAGUCGUAACAAGGUAACC
rnacentral:rRNA from 3 species